rnacentral:rRNA from 1 species
GAAUCCACUAGUGAUUUCUGGUUGAUCCCGGCGGAGGCUGCCGCGCCACAAACUAUAUAGGUUUUAUAAGAAGAGCUCUCGAAAAGGCCGGAAUGAGCCAGGUGCCGGUAAUAUCCUUAAACCUCGCGGGACUCGAAGGGAAUCCCGGCUUUAAGAUCACAAAGGACCAACGAGCGAGACCCAA